rnacentral:rRNA from 1 species
AGUGAACGCUGGCGGUAGGCCUAACACAUGCAAGUCGAACGGCAGCACAGUAAGAGCUUGCUCUUACGGGUGGCGAGUGGCGGACGGGUGAGGAAUACAUCGGAAUCUACUUUUUCGUGGGGGAUAACGUAGGGAAACUUACGCUAAUACCGCAUACGACCUACGGGUGAAAGCAGGGGAUCUUCGGACCUUGCGCGAUUGAAUGAGCCGAUGUCGGAUUAGCUAGUUGGCGGGGUAAAGGCCCACCAAGGCGACGAUCCGUAGCUGGUCUGAGAGGGUGAUCCGCCACACUGGAACUGAGGCACGGUCCAGACACCUACGGGAGGCAGCAGUGGGGAAUAUUGGACAAUGGGCGCAAGCCUGAUCCAGCCAUACCGCGUGGGUGAAGAAGGCCUUCGGGUUGUAAAGCCCUUUUGUUGGGAAAGAAAAGCAGCAGGUUAAUACCCCGCUGUUCUGACGGUACCCAAAGAAUAAGCACCGGCUAACUUCGUG